rnacentral:rRNA from 1 species
UACGUAGGUGGCAAGCGUUGUCCGGAUUUACUGGGUGUAAAGGGCGUGUAGCCGGGCUGACAAGUCAGAUGUGAAAUUCCGGGGCUCAACCCCGGACCUGCAUUUGAAACUGUUGGUCUUGAGUAUCGGAGAGGCAGGCGGAAUUCCUAGUGUAGCGGCGAAAUGCGUAGAUAUUAGGAGGAACACCAGUGGCGAAGGCGGCCUGCUGGACGACAACUGACGGUGAGGCGCGAAAGCGUGGGGAGCAAACAGG